rnacentral:tRNA from 1 species
GCGGGUGUGGUGUAACGGCUGCACGAGAGCCUUCCAAGCUCUAAGCAGGGGUUCGAUUCCCCUCACCCGCU